rnacentral:rRNA from 1 species
UGGGGAAUAUUGGACAAUGGGGGAAACCCUGAUCCAGCAAUGCCGCGUGAGUGAUGAAGGCCCUCGGGUUGUAAAGCUCUUUUAUAGGAGACGAUAAUGACGGUAUCCUAUGAAUAAGAUCCGGCUAACUUCGUGCCAGCAGCCGCGGUAAUACGAAGGGAUCGAGCGUUGUUCGGAAUUACUGGGCGUAAAGGGUGUGUAGGCGGUUGUGAAAGUUUGAUGUGAAAGACCUGGGCUUAACUUGGGAAUGGCAUCGAAAACUUCAUGACUUGAGAGCGAGAGAGGAAAAUGGAAUUGCGCGUGUAGAGGUGGAAUUCGUAGAUAUGCGCAAGAACACCAGUGGCGAAGGCGAUUUUCUGGCUCGAUUUCUGACGCUGAGGCACGAAAGCGUGGGGAGCAAACAGG